rnacentral:lncRNA from 1 species
UAAAAAUUUUCCUUACCUCCCUCUCACUUGGAAGGCCGGCCGACUACCACCAUGGUGGCAGCGCACAACGGCGACGGUAGACACGUCGGAAAGAGAUGAGAGAGUGAGAAACUGCGGCGGCGACGGCGGCCGUACCAAUCGACGGCAACGACGAGUUCGUUCGAGUUGGGUUCAACCCGAUUCCAGUUCGGGUCUCGUUUUGGGUUGUGUUUCAUGAAGCCGCCGCCAGAACCACAGAUCGGAGCACGAAUUGGAACUCGACUCGUAAACCUUUUCAUUUCGACAUAAUUGAAAGAUUUGCCACACUUGUUCCACCGGAAGGGUUAUUGACGAUUUCGCCUUCACAACUAAAGCUAGUUUCAUUUGUUGAAGCUUCCCAAUCUUACUCGUGCGUUACUUACAAGAAACCACAAACGCAACCAAUGAUUGUGACAGAUGAAUCCAGUAGGAUUGCCUAGAAGCGCACUUAAACUUUAUUGCUCGUUGUAUUGUAAUUUAUUUUCAAUCCUGUUGUAUUCUGGUUCCAAUACUUGUAAUAAUUCAUUAUUAAUGAAAUGAAAUAUAAUUAUUU